rnacentral:lncRNA from 1 species
AGCCUCGACCAAUACAAUCUGUACAACCUAAGGUGAUCUGGCCUAUUCUGCCCAAGCAGUUCAGUCAUGAACCACCUGAAGAAGUGGAACCACCAACUCAAAGUCAAGAUUCUUCACCUGCUCAGGAGAGAGAGGACGACGGAGCAUCUGCAGCUCAAAGCCCUGAGCUGAAAGCUGAUUGCCAGGAACUGGUUCAAAGACUGGGUAUGAGCAUGGAGAUGAUCCUGAUGUGAAGGGGAUGUGCCUACUAAACCCCAGAGCCUGGGAAACUGCCAGAAGGUGAAAAGCA